UCAUCUUGAAUUGUUUUUGUUUUUGUUUUUUGAGAUGGAGUCUCGCUCUGUCGCCAUGCUGGAGUGCAGUGGCACGAUCUCAGCUCACUGCAACCUCUGCUUCCAGGGUUCAAGCACUUCUCCUGCCUCAGCCUCCUGAGUACCUGGGACUACAGGCACACGCUGCCACGCCCGCUAAUUUUUGUUGUUGUUGUUUGUAUUUUAGUAGAGAUGGGGUUUCACCAUGUUGCCCAGGCUGGUCUCAAACUCCUGAGCUCAGGCCAUCUGCCCGCCUCGGCCUCCCAAAGUGCUAGGAUUACAGAAGGUGCCUGCUUCCCCUUCACCUUCCACCAUGAUUGUAAGUUUCCUGAGGCCUCCCCAGACAUGUGGAACUGUGAGUCAAUUAAAUCUCUUUUCUUUAUAAAUUACCCAGUCUCAGGUAGUAUCUUUAUAGCGGUAUAAAAACAGACUAAUACAAACAGGUAGCUCUAAAUUGUGAGUUUUUCUUAACUCCUUUGAUCUUCUGUGAUAGCGAUUUUUCACAUUUCACACUUCCCUAAUGCCAAAAAUCCACCUCCAGCAGCUGUUUUGCCUCUUUCUUAUCCUGCCCCUUGGAAGAAUGUCAUCAUUAUUGCUGCCACAGCACUGUGUUCUUUUUCAGAAGUUACAGCAAGAAUUGGUUGGCUUUCUUUCUUUUUUUUUUUUUUUCUCAGACAGAAUCUGGUUCUGUCGCCCAGGCUGAUGUGCAGUGGUGGGAUCUUGGCUCACUGCAACCUCUGCCUCCCGGGUUCAAGCAAUUCUCUCGCCUCAGUCUCUCGAGUAGCUGGGAUUACAGGCACAAGCCACCAUGCCCGGCUAAUUUUUGUAUUUUCAGUAGAGAUGGGGUUUCACCAUGUUGGCCAGGAUGGUCUCGAUCUCCUGACCUCGUGCUCCACUUGCCUUAGCCUCCCAAAGUGCUGAGAUUACAGGUGUGAGCCACCGCGUCUGGCCAGAUCUGCUUUCAAAUAAAUGAAAAGAAGACCAGGGUUAGAACUGGUGGGAAAAUGUGAAUAUUAGAAUUCUUUUAAAGAAAUAUAGUUUUACCACAUAAUCUAAGGUCGUGUGAUUAAGUACAAGGCAUUGUUCUAAAAGGCUUGAGGAAAAGUUGUUUCUCCUAAGAGGUUAAACAAGCUCAUAACCCUACCUCUCCUCACUUGCAGGCACAACCACUUCCUGUGUUUUUUUCAUGUGGAGCAACUGAUGUUUUCUCAAUCUUAUAUAAGAUGUUAUACAAGGCCGGGUGUAGUGGCUCAUGCCCGUAAUCCCAGCACUUUGGGAGGCCGAGGUGGGCAGAUCACCUGAGGUCAGGAGUUUGAGAUCAGCCUGGCCAACAUGGUGAAGCC
rnacentral:lncRNA from 1 species